rnacentral:lncRNA from 1 species
GAAUCCUGUGCAAAGAGCACCAUUUGGUGGGCAUAUUAUCUUAAUUAUUUGAUUGGUAAUAGAAAUUAUGUUCUUAGGCCAGAAGGCAUCCAGUUAUACAUAAGUUAGAAGAUAAUGAAGUAACUCUGCCCUAAGGGAACCCAAGAAACACUCUGAUAUUCAAAAGGAAAGAAGUUCUCAUCUAGGAUGUCAGACUGCCUACAAAACAACUGCCUAAUCACAGAGCAUUCAACUGGUGACCAUAGGGUAACCUACAUUUCUGGGAAAAGGAAAAAGCAACAGGCAGAAAUGGUAGUUUCUCACCUUAAGAACUUUGCAUGGUGGUCUGACUUCAGAGAUAUGUUCCUGAUCUAUUUUGGGGAGAACAUACUUUCCUUCAUGCUCACUAGAUGCAGCACUGGACAG